rnacentral:lncRNA from 1 species
CUCUAAGUCAUUUUUUCUUUUCUCUAGUGCACAAAAGUAAAUGAAAGAACUUUAUUUUGAAGGAAAUUUCCGUUUAACACGUUUGCAUCCAAUAUUUAUAGAUUGGGGGAGUGAAUCAAACCUAAAUCUUAGUGUGAUACACAUGCUUUAGAAUUUAUUUGAGCAAUCUUCAUCAUCAUCAAUUUCAUCAUCUUCUUGUUUGAAAUUUACAACAUACCUCCAACAAAAGAUCCAACACCAUAUGCAUUAUAAUGUUAAAACUAAUCACCCCAUGCAACAACAACAUAACGACUCAUACAAAAAUUGGGUUUUGGAUGAUUUGAUGGCGUUGAAAUCAGAAAUGUUAGGGAUAACGAGCUUUCUUCUGCAUUUGAAACAAGCAAGAGAUCUCAGGAAGCUUUGGAGGAUUGAAUUCGAGCUCGAAAAAGACCCUAUCAAGCAAGACAUGUAGUUCACCUGACAAUAUAAGUUACACGUCGAAACUGAUUGUAUCAUGGUAGAGAACAAAUUAAAUGGAAGAGUUAAUAAUUGCACUGAAUUCGGUGACAUACUUAAAAUUUGUCAAGAAAUCAACCAACAAAAUAACAACUUUGUGAUUAGAUGUAUUAGUAGACAAACUAAUGAGUGACUCAUAACACCUAAGUUGAUAGCAUAAAAUAAAAAAGAUGCAUACAUAUGUGACAAAAUAUACCAAUAUGAUAAAAUUAAAAUAUUCAGAAUACUCAUGUCUCUUAAGCUUUAACAUUGACGACGCGAAAUUUAUAGAUUAAAUAUGUAUUACAUCAAUGUUGACUUGUCAAUUUCAACAAAAAGAAGACCACAACAAGACAAAAAACUAAAUAACAUUGAACUAAGACAAUAAACUAAACAUUGUUGCCUUCAGACGAAAAAAUCAUGAACAAAACAUAAAAGAAAAUUAAAAUGUACGUAGAAAUGAAAAAAUAGAUUUAUAUGAGUGAUUUUGUGCCUAAAAGUAGCUCUAAACCACCUCAAUUAAGGACAAUUAAGGAGGAAGAAGAACAAGAGUGGAAGUGGGGCAACAUGUUUUUCAAGUGUUAAAU